AUGGACGAUUAAGCUUCAAAAGCUCUAAAAUUGAUGCCCAGCGGCACAUCUUUUGAUAGAAUAUCUUUCUAGUUAAUAUACAACUCGCAGUACUAAGUUAGUUCGUCGUUAUAGUGCGUAGCCCAGACACGCGCGCUAGCGUGGAAACCUCGACUAUUGAGGAUGUGAGACACACAUGCUUUCUAAUUGACAUGAAUUGUACUACACAAACUACGAGGGAAAGAAAUGCUCGCGCCUCAGAACACGGCGGAAUAAGCGCCUCAGAACACGGCGGAAUAAGCGCCUCAGAACACGGCGGAAUAAGCGCCUCAUAACACGGCGGAAUAAGCGCCACAGAACACGGCGGAAUAAGCGCCUCAGAACACGGCGGAAUAAGCGCCUCAGAACAAGGCGGAAUAAGCGCCACAGAACACGGCGGAAUAAGCGCCUCAGAACACGGCGGAAUAGGCGCCUAAAAAAAACUUUGUAUUGGUGGCCACGCGUCGCACACAAUAAUAGGCAAUUAGUAUGACGGCACAUUGCCAAAAGAUGGUAAAUUACAUAGACAUCAGAGGUGAAUUGAUAGAAUAAACAAUAUAAUUAUCUUAACACGAGUCGGGUUUUCGCACACCAGUACAAUGUUUUUACCCUGCCGGCUUAACCUCCAUUCGCCCAACUCGUGAAAUGUUUUUUAAGAUUAGAAUCUUGUUACUGCCCAUCAUAGGGUUUGGACUUAGGGCCGACAAUAUCACCAUUUGCCCAAAGGAUCUAGCAGUGUUGCAAAUCUACUGGAACACUCUUAUUCCUUACAUAUAUCCAAAGAAUAACACAGCGAGCGAACCCGAAGGAGAGUUGGUGGAGUACUUUGCGUUGGCUUCUACAUUCUGUGGUUGCGGUGACCAAGUCAAACUUAACUUUACGAGGAUGAACGUGUCGUCAUCAGCCGAGAUAGAGCUGUUUAUUCGACACUCCAUGCCCAACAUAGUACCGCGAUUGGUGUUUCCCGUCAUCACCAAAACUGGUGUGAAUAUACAAUACCUGCGGAGAUUUUUGGCAUUUCACCGCUCGCCAGGACCGGCGAUUCUUGAAUAUGUGCAAACGAAUGGUGGCAAGAUCAGUUUUACCGAAAUGGCAGUGCGUUCUGUCCCAUAUCUUAUCAUUAUGGUGUUAAUAGCGAUUUCUGCAGGCACUCUUGUUUGGGGCAUUGAAAUGCAUAAAAACUCAGAGCAGUUCUCGCGACCAUUUCCUCAUGGGGCCCUUAACGGCGUAUGGUGGUCUUUCGUCACUAUGACAACAGUCGGGUAUGGCGAUAAAUCCCCUGUGUCAGUCAUAGGUCGCAUGGUCGGCAUAAUUUGGAUGAUCGUGGGGACUAUACUUAUGUCGCUCUUUAACGCACAAAUAACAGCAGCCUUCGCAUCUAACGAAAUCGGUCAGGAAGUAUCUCUAGUUGGAGAAAAGGUGGCCUUGCAGUUGGGGACGGAGAAUUUCUUCUCAACCGAGACUAACCUGGGGGGGAUCUACCAAGAGCUUGAGAUAGAUGCAUACGCCACAGAAUUCCCAACCGGUCCAUUCAAGUACUUUCUCGUCCACGACUAUAUUGCUGUGCAGCAGUAUCCGGAUGAGACCGUGAAAAUGGUGAAAACAAUACACCAUGAGGUAAACAACAAACCCAGACGUAAAUAACACCCACAGAGGUAAACAACACACCGAAAGGUAAACAACACCCACAGAGGUUAACAAUACACCAAGAGGCAAACAACACGAGAGGUAAACAACACACCGAGAGGUAAACAACACCCACAGAGGUAAACAAAACACCCAGAGGUAAACAAUGCACCCAGAGGCAAACAACACACCGAGAGGUAAACAACACCCACAGAGGUAAACAACACACCGAGAGGCAAACAAUACACCGAGAGGCAAACAAUACACCAAGAGGUAAACAACAUGUGAGGUAAAAACUACACCCAGAGGUAAAAUACACACCAAGAGGUAAACAAUGCACCCAGAGGCAAACAACACUCCCAGAGUUCAACAACACACCGAGAGGUAAACAACAUGUGAGGUAAAAACUACACCCAGAGGUAAAAUACACACCAAGAGGUAAACAAUGCACCCAGAGGCAAACAACACUCCCAGAGGUCAACAACACACCGAGAGGUAAACAAUACACCAAGAGGUGAACAACACACCGAAAGGUGAACAACACACCGAGAGGUAAACAAUACACCAAGAGGUGAACAACACACCGAAAGGUGAACAACACACCGAGAGGCAAACAAUACACCGAGAGGCAAACAAUACACCAAGAGGUAAACAACAUGUGAGGUAAAAACUACACCCAGAGGUAAAAUACACACCAAGAGGUAAACAAUGCACCCAGAGGCAAACAACACUCCCAGAGGUCAACAACACACCGAGAGGUAAACAAUACACCAAGAGGUGAACAACACACCGAAAGGUGAACAAAACACCGAGAGGUAAACAACACACCAAGAGGUAAACAACAUCCACAGAGGCAAACAACACACCGAGAGGUAAACAAUACACCGAGAGGUAAACAAUACACCGAGAGGUAAACAACACACCGAGAGGUAAACAACACACCGAGAGGUAAACAACACCCACAGAGGUUAACAAUACACCAAGAGGUAAACAACACGUGAGGUAAACAAUACACGCAGGGGCAAACAACACACCGAGAGGUAAACACACCUCACAGUUUCCUUAAAUUUUCAGUGUUUCAUUAUUUUUAUCGAAUCAAGAGCAUUGGACACCAAUUCACAAACACCGCGAAAAUGAGUAACAAAAACUCAUAAUACCUCAUAAAAUAUGAAACUAC